CGCCCGCUCAGAAACUACAAAGGAAUUGACGGGGAGCACCACAACAGGUGGAGCCUGCGGUUUAAUCGGACUCAACGCCGGGAAACUCACCAGAUAAGACAGCUGAAUGAUAGUCGGGCUGAAGACUCUACUUGACUAGCUGAGAGGAGGUGCAUGGCCGUCGUCAGUUCGUACUGUGAAGCAUCCUGUUAAGUCAGGCAACGAGCGAGACCCACGCCAACAGUUGCCAGCUCGUCCUCCGGGAUGGUGGGGACACUGUUGGGACCGCCUCUGCUAAAGAGGAAGAAGGAAUGGGCAACGGUAGGUCAGCAUGCCCCGAAUUAUCUGGGCUACACGCGGGCUACAAUGGGUGGGACAAUGGGUAUCGACACCGAAAGGUGAAGGCAAUCUCCUAAACCCAUCCGUAGUUCGGAUUGUGGGCUGCAACUCGCCCACAUGAAGCUGGAAUCUGUAGUAAUCGUGUCUCAAAAUGGCACGGUGAAUAUGUCCCUGCUCCUU
rnacentral:rRNA from 1 species